rnacentral:rRNA from 1 species
AUUGAACGCUGGCGGCAGGCCUAACACAUGCAAGUCGAGCGAGCGGCGGACGGGUGAGUAAUGUAUGGGGACUGCCCGAUAGAGGGGGAUAACUACUGGAAAAGGUGGCUAAUACCGCAUACUAUCGGAUAACCCAUAUGGGAUUAGCUAGUAGGUGGGGUAAAGGCUCACCUAGGCGACGAUCUCUAGCUGGUCUGAGAGGAUGAUCAGCCACACAGGGACGGAGACACGGCCCAGACUCCUACGGAGGCAGCAGUGGGGAAUAGUGCACAAUGGGCGCAAGCCUGAUGCCGCAAGGCAGCGUGUAUGAAGAAGGCCUUAGGGUUGUAAAGUACUUUCAGCGGGGAGGCGUUACCCGCAGAAGAAGCGCCGGCUAACCCCGUGUCAGCAGCAGCGGUAAUUC